AUUCCAUACAUACUUACUACAAUUUUCUUUUCAUUGAUAGACGAAGAUAUGAGUUUUUUUUAAAGUAGUGACGAAUUAUUUAUGUCUCCUGAUUUUUAGGACGUGUCUUCUGAUUUUAUUCAAAUUGGACCUGGCAACACUGAAAUAAUGUCAGAAUCUUUUCUUUGACAUUAUUUACAAUUUAUAUUAUUAUACAUAAUUGGUGUUUUCACUAUUCUUAAGCUAAAAAAAAAACACCUGUUUGUCCUCCAAAGAAUACCUUAUUGGAUUCACAGGAUGAUUGAGGAUUUGAGGGAAGCAUGUUAAGACUGUGACAAUAUGGUCUUAAGGCAGCCGGCCUCAUUGAGAACAAGAAAAUACCCUGCUUUAUGUAGCGGUUGUUAUUUGUUAAUAUGACAUGUCUCGGCAGUGUAGUGACCCUGUGCUUAAUUAAGGCUUCAGGUUCAAAUCAUGGUAAACCAAAAUGAAAGCGGCCGGUUGAAAAAGUAGCAGAGUCGAAAAUGGAAAUUAAUGAGCUGCAGAAGUAAAUUUUAGAAGAAUAAUUCUCUUCUUCUUUGUUGUAUCCUUGUGGCUGAGGGACAUGACGAAUGAGGCCAUUCUUUACCAGUGUUCUUCACGCCACUCAAUCCUGGGCCCGGUGCAUGCUAGCCUGCAGUGGUCUUUGUCAGAGACGUUAUUGUGUCUGCCCAAUGUGUGCCCAUGCUGCCACUUCUUCACUUCCUUGCCGUGUCCUGUGAUUAUGGGAAGAAUAAUAUGCAAAUAAAAACCAACAAUGGGCCAUCGAAGAACAGGAGAGGGCAUGUGGGCCUUAGAGAAAGAGUUGUUAAUGUGAAGACUAAAUAAAUUCAACAAAUAAAAUCUCAACUAUAAUACUGUCUUUGGUACACCCGCUACCAUCGCGUCAAAUAGUGAAAGUGCAGUUCAGUGUAAGCAAAGACAGUGUACAAGAUAUACCACUCACCUAUGGCAUUAGUGUUACUAGACCACAUUAAUACAUAAAGACUAUUUUUCUAAACUUGUGUAUAGCUCUGUGUUGUCUUAAUAAAUCCUAUUGGAAACAC
rnacentral:lncRNA from 1 species